GUUAGGAAUAUUCGUCAAUGGGGGAAACCCUGAACGAGCAAUGCCGCGUGAGUGAUGACGGUCCUCUGGAUUGUAAAACUCUGUUGUUUAGGAAAAAUUGUAUAAGUAGGAAAUGACUUAUACUUGAUGGUACUAUUCAAGAAAGCCACGGCUAACUACGUGCCAGCAGCCGCGGUAAUACGUAGGUGGCGAGCGUUAUCCGGAUUUAUUGGGCGUAAAGCGUCCGCAGACGGUUUGUUAAGUCUAGAAUCAAAGCCCGGAGCUUAACUUCGGUUCGUUCUAGAAACUGGCAGGCUUGAGUAUAGUAGAGGCAAGUGGAAUUUCUAGUGUAGCGGUAGAAUGCGUAGAUAUUAGAAGGAACACCAGUGGCGAAGGCGACUUGCUGGGCUAUUACUGACGUUCAUGGACGAAAGCGUGGGGAGCAAAUAGGA
rnacentral:rRNA from 1 species